rnacentral:rRNA from 1 species
GAUGAACGCUAGCGAUAGGCCUAACACAUGCAAGUCGAGGGGCAUCACAUGAAGCAGCAAUGCGGAUGGUGGCGACCGGCGCACGGGUGAGUAACACGUAUGCAACCUGCCUUCAACAAGGGCAUAACCCGUUGAAAGACGGACUAAUUCCCUAUGACACAGGGGUCCCGCAUGGGGAUAUUUGUUAAAGAUUAAUCGGUUGGAGAUGGGCAUGCGUUCCAUUAGCUUGUUGGCGGGGUAACGGCCCACCAAGGCAACGAUGGAUAGGGGAACUGAGAGGUUUAUCCCCCACACUGGUACUGAGACACGGACCAGACUCCUACGGGAGGCAGCAGUGAGGAAUAUUGGUCAACGGGCGCAAGCCUGAACCAGCCACGUCGCGUGAAGGAAGACGGCCCUACGGGUUGUAAACUUCUUUUGCAAGGGAAUAAAGUUGGCCACGCGUGGCCUUUUGCAUGUACCUUGCGAAUAAGGAUCGGCUAACUCCGUGCCAGCAGCCGCGGUAAUACGGAGGAUCCGAGCGUUAUCCGGAUUUAUUGGGUUUAAAGGGUGCUCAGGCGGGGGAUUAAGUCGGCGGUGAAAUUUUGCGGCUCAACCGUAAAAGUGCCUUCGAAACUGGUUUCCUUGAGUGUGGAUGAGGUAGGCGGAAUUUGUGGUGUAGCGGUGAAAUGCAUAGAUAUCACGAGGAACUCCGAUUGCGCAGGCAGCUUACUAAGCCAUAACUGACGCUCAAGCACGAAGGCGUGGGGAUCAAACAGGAUUAGAUACCCUGGUAGUCCACGCAGUAAACGAUGAUUACUGGCUGUUUGCGAUAUAAUGUAAGCGGCUGAGCGAAAGCGUUAAGUAAUCCACCUGGGGAGUACGUUCGCAAGAAUGAAACUCAAAGGAAUUGACGGGGGCCCGCACAAGCGGAGGAACAUGUGGUUUAUUCGAUGAUACGCGAGGAACCUUACCCGGGCUUGAAAUGCAGAUGACCGGCGCGGAGAC